UCACCAUCGAGACCGGCGGAGGGACAGGCCCUUUGAUGCCGGGGCAGCCAGCGGAGCGCGCAAGCGCCCGCGUUUGGUGCCAAAUCCUGCGGGGACCUCCGCGUCCGCCGAAAGAUGGUUC
rfam:Xanthomonas campestris pv. campestris str. ATCC 33913, complete genome.